UAUGGAGAGUUUGAUCCUGGCUCAGGAUGAACGCUGGCGGCGUGCCUAAUACAUGCAAGUCGAGCGAACGGACGAGAAGCUUGCUUCUCUGAUGUUAGCGGCGGACGGGUGAGUAACACGUGGAUAACCUACCUAUAAGACUGGGAUAACUUCGGGAAACCGGAGCUAAUACCGGAUAAUAUUUUGAACCGCAUGGUUCAAAAGUGAAAGACGGUCUUGCUGUCACUUAUAGAUGGAUCCGCGCUGCAUUAGCUAGUUGGUAAGGUAACGGCUUACCAAGGCAACGAUGCAUAGCCGACCUGAGAGGGUGAUCGGCCACACUGGAACUGAGACACGGUCCAGACUCCUACGGGAGGCAGCAGUAGGGAAUCUUCCGCAAUGGGCGAAAGCCUGACGGAGCAACGCCGCGUGAGUGAUGAAGGUCUUCGGAUCGUAAAACUCUGUUAUUAGGGAAGAACAUAUGUGUAAGUAACUGUGCACAUCUUGACGGUACCUAAUCAGAAAGCCACGGCUAACUACGUGCCAGCAGCCGCGGUAAUACGUAGGUGGCAAGCGUUAUCCGGAAUUAUUGGGCGUAAAGCGCGCGUAGGCGGUUUUUUAAGUCUGAUGUGAAAGCCCACGGCUCAACCGUGGAGGGUCAUUGGAAACUGGAAAACUUGAGUGCAGAAGAGGAAAGUGGAAUUCCAUGUGUAGCGGUGAAAUGCGCAGAGAUAUGGAGGAACACCAGUGGCGAAGGCGACUUUCUGGUCUGUAACUGACGCUGAUGUGCGAAAGCGUGGGGAUCAAACAGGAUUAGAUACCCUGGUAGUCCACGCCGUAAACGAUGAGUGCUAAGUGUUAGGGGGUUUCCGCCCCUUAGUGCUGCAGCUAACGCAUUAAGCACUCCGCCUGGGGAGUACGACCGCAAGGUUGAAACUCAAAGGAAUUGACGGGGACCCGCACAAGCGGUGGAGCAUGUGGUUUAAUUCGAAGCAACGCGAAGAACCUUACCAAAUCUUGACAUCCUUUGACAACUCUAGAGAUAGAGCCUUCCCCUUCGGGGGACAAAGUGACAGGUGGUGCAUGGUUGUCGUCAGCUCGUGUCGUGAGAUGUUGGGUUAAGUCCCGCAACGAGCGCAACCCUUAAGCUUAGUUGCCAUCAUUAAGUUGGGCACUCUAAGUUGACUGCCGGUGACAAACCGGAGGAAGGUGGGGAUGACGUCAAAUCAUCAUGCCCCUUAUGAUUUGGGCUACACACGUGCUACAAUGGACAAUACAAAGGGCAGCGAAACCGCGAGGUCAAGCAAAUCCCAUAAAGUUGUUCUCAGUUCGGAUUGUAGUCUGCAACUCGACUACAUGAAGCUGGAAUCGCUAGUAAUCGUAGAUCAGCAUGCUACGGUGAAUACGUUCCCGGGUCUUGUACACACCGCCCGUCACACCACGAGAGUUUGUAACACCCGAAGCCGGUGGAGUAACCUUUUAGGAGCUAGCCGUCGAAGGUGGGACAAAUGAUUGGGGUGAAGUCGUAACAAGGUAGCCGUAUCGGAAGGUGCGGCUGGAUCACCUCCUU
rnacentral:rRNA from 3 species